rnacentral:rRNA from 1 species
CCUACGGGGGGCAGCAGUGGGGAAUAUUGGGCAAUGGGCGCAAGCCUGACCCAGCAACGCCGCGUGAAGGAAGAAGGCUUUCGGGUUGUAAACUUCUUUUCUUAGGGACGAAGCAAGUGACGGUACCUGAGGAAUAAGCCACGGCGAACUACGUGCCAGCAGCCGCGGUAAUACGUAGGGGGCAAGCGUUAUCCGGAUUUACUGGGUGUAAAGGGCGUGUAGGCGGGAAAGCAAGUCAGAUGUGAAAACCAUGGGCUCAACCUGUGGCCUGCAUUUGAAACUGUUUUUCUUGAGUACUGGAGAGGCAGACGGAAUUCCUGGUGUAGCGGUGAAAUGCGUAGAGAUUAGGAGGAACACCAGUGGCGAAGGCGGUCUGCUGGACAGCAACUGACGCUGAGGCGCGAAAGCGUGGGGAGCAAACAGGAUUAGAUACCCCAGUAGUC